CCUACGGGAGGCAGCAGUGAGGAAUAUUGGUCAAUGGCCGGAAGGCUGAACCAGCCAUGCCGCGUUAAGGUCAGUGCCCUAUGGGCGUUAAACUUCUUUUGUGCGGGAGCAAUAAUGGUCACGUGUGGCCAGACGAGAGUACCGUACGAAUAAGCAUCGACUAACUCCGUGCCAGCAGCCGCGGUAAUACGGGGGUUGCAAGCGUUAUCCGGAUUUAUUGGGGUUAAAGGGUUCGUAGGCUGUGAGGUAAGUCAGCGGUGAAAUGCCCCCGCUCAACGGGGUGAAGUGCCAUUGAUACUGCCUUGCUGGAAUGCGGAUGCCGUGGGAGGAAUGUGUGGUGUAGCGGUGAAAUGCAUAGAUAUCACACGGAACACCGAUUGCGAAGGCAUCUCACGAAUCCGCGAUUGACGCUGAUGCACGAAAGCGUGGGUAUCAAACAGGAUUAGAUACCCGAGUAGUC
rnacentral:rRNA from 1 species